GACCCCUCCUGUGGCCUAAUGGUUAGAGCGUCCGCCUCGGAUGCGGGAGGUCAUGGGUUCGAGCACCGACCGAGUCA